rnacentral:rRNA from 1 species
GCGAGCGUUGUCCGGAAUUAUUGGGCGUAAAGGGUGCGUAGGCGGCCCUUUAAGUCGGUGUGAAAGCCCGCGGCUUAACCGCGGAAUGGCAUUUGAAACUGGAGGGCUUGAGUGUCGGAGAGGGUAGUGGAAUUCCCAGUGUAGCGGUGAAAUGCGUAGAUAUUGGGAGGAACACCAGUGGCGAAGGCGACUUCCUGGACGAUAACUGACGCUGAGGCACGAAAGCUAGGGGAGCAAACAGGAUUAGAUACCCUGGUAGUCCNAGCCGUAAACGAUGGGUACUAGGUGUGGGUGGUUUCGAUNCCAUCCGUGCCGCUAGUAACGCA